AUGACAUCUGGCUCAGCACUACUGAAAUAUUCAUGCUCUCUCACUGCUGCCUUCCAUCACCAUCCCCUCAGCAGCACCACUGCCUGCACAGCCCAAUGGCAGAGCGGCAAAGCUGAGCUCUGUGCUCAGACACAGAGCAGUGCAGACACCCCAAUCCUCCGCCAUGGAGCUCCUGAAGCAAUCAAAUAUUUACUCUUUAACAGAUUGCACAAGGCACAAAGGAAGAAAGCAGCCCAGAUAAGGUGCCAACAAAAGGCACGAUUAGAUCGUUUGAUCUUUGAUACACUCAGCUACACCCUUGGGUGCCUCUGCAAGGAGGGGCACCUGAAACAGGAGAGAGCCCUGCUGUGGCACAGCAGCACAGCAGCACAGCAGCACAGCAGCACAGCAGCACAGCAGCACAGCAGCACAGCAGCACAGCAGCACAGCAGCACAGCAGCACAGCAGCACAGCAGCACAGCAGCACAGCAGCUGUGGGGUCCCAAUGUGCUCCAGGAUGAUAUGGGGAGCCCAGUGCAGGCACGGGGGACAGCACAGCCCCCCCUGCAUCACACUUGCUGCAACUUAGGGACCAGGAUGGGGCUCAGCAGCACCAUGCCAUGCCAGUGGGUGCACAGCUGGGCUCCUCUCCUUGGCACAGCUCUGCAAAGCUCACUGCCCUCAGUCCUCUCAUUGCUCGUGGCACUCAGGUUCUCCAGCUUUAACAGCAGCGAAGCCAUCCCAGCACCCCCAGCCACUGCUCCCAACCAACUCUGCCAUCCCACCUCUUCAGUGCUUUGCAACACCCCCUCCCAAAUUUCCAUCUCCCGGCUCAUCCCAAUGCAGCCCCGCUGCCUUCGCAAUCAGUUUCCCAGCACCAGCAGAGCCCUGAGGUUCACUGCCAUCCCAGCACCCCCAGCCCUCCCCGCAGCCCAGGGGUCCCUGUUUGCUUUCUGCCCACGGAAGGCAAGCGGGUUGCUUUCACCCAGCCCUACAAAGCUCAGCGCUUCUGCACAGAGCCUGCUGGAAAGCAGCAGGUCGAGACGGGCUGCAAAAGGCAAGAGAAAGUUCCAAAGGGCUGCAAUGACCAAAGCCUGGGUUACUGCGUAA
rnacentral:lncRNA from 1 species